GGCCUAACCCUCGUUCAUCAGGGAACUCCCUGGGUUGGGUGCAGCUGGCAAUCGAGAUCUCCCGGCAAUCCACAACUUCCCGUACAUGUCCUGGCCGCGUUCCCUUGCCGGCGACGACGUCCUCGGUCGCCAAGGCGGUCGAUUCUGGCUAAGCGCAACACCGGUCCCGGUCGUGACACCCUUGGCCUCACCGCCGAUUGAAGAUGGAGUUCACCGUCCUCUUCGCACACGAAGACACCCGAGGUAUUCACAGUGGUCCGGGAGCGGUGCGUGGCGGUCAUCACGUCGCGGCGCCCGUGCCGGCUCGGCGGUGGCGCAGGAGAUUGGAGGAGGCCGACGAAGUGGUGCUGGUAGGUGACGAUGUGAGGCGUCGCGGGCGCGUGAUUCGGUGGUCCAAGGCGUCGCCCGUGCGUCGGCUUCUCCCGCGUCGGUCCUUCGCGGUGGUCGUCGUCAGCUCGUCGCCAUCAAGACCGUGGUAGACUGCGAGCUGGACAUGAAUUCGUCCCAGUGCGGCGACAAGAUGGGGUUCGGCGUGCAGUUCUCGUCGCGAUGGGGUUGUCGGUGGCCACGACAACCAGGUGGCCGGCGCUCGUGCGGGUGCCGGGAAGGUGUGCCUGCGCUCUUAGGCCUUCCACAGCGUUGUGAUUUUUCGGUGCCCAAACCAGUUUGGGCAUCAAUCAUCGGUGCCCUCACGUUGUGGAGCCGGUGCCCCAACAAAAAUUUCAAGGAUCGGAGCAUGUAGAGUAACCGAUGCCCAAACUCAGGUAGGGUUAAAAUAUUAUUCUUUCCUAUGCCAGCACGACAAGCAUUCCAUCUAUGCAUGCAACAGGUACAGCUUUUCCCUACAAUCAGUUCAGCUCAAUGUACUCCCUCCGUUCCUUUUUAAUUGACUCAAAUUUAGUACAAAUUUGUACUAAAUCCGAGUCAAUUAAAAAAGAACGGAGGGAGUAUAUUUUAUCAAUGUGGGAUCAGCCAUGCGGUGCCCUCCAUUGACAUGUCAACCUUUUUAGAAACUGGGCACCGGCAACAUUGUGGAGGGCCUUAGCGACCGCCUGGUGGCCAACAUUGGGUCACUGAGCGAGUGCCAGCUCUCUGAACAAGAUACCGACAGGCUCCUGUACUUGCCAGCCAACGGCACAUGUGGCGCUGGAUGUUCACUGGCUCUAUCUUAAGAAGGUGGCCUAGUUCAGCAGCAAUUAUGAAUGCUCGCUGAUUGCGUGUCAGCGAGUUGAUUAAUUUAAAGUACGCCUAUUGUGAGCAUCUCUACCCUGAUAAUGGCGAAGACCUGAGCCCGCAAGCACAAGUUUAAGACCUGGCUUAGCAAGAUUGACGGCAGAGGACCUGGAUUUGAUGGCGAGGCCUGAUUAGAAUUUGCUAUGAUCAGCAUUUCUCCAGUGUUUACUUGAAUUUGUCAUGUUUCAGAGUAGCUGUUUUUAUCGAUUUUGGUACUAGUACUGUUUGCUUCAAUUUUUCAUUUUGUUUGAUUCAGAGAUCUUGUUAUUAAAUAUACAAUUUGGAUACUAUUUAUCCUA